rnacentral:lncRNA from 1 species
AUAAAAACUGAAUUAAUAUCCUGUCUUCAGGAUUAUACUUUUGUUUCUAUAAUGGAAAUAUCUAUAGACAUCACUGGACUUGCUGUUUUGCUUUUAUCUGUUGAUUUUAAUCCCAAUUAGUCAUGAAGGAGAUAUUUUAUGGGAAUGCUUAGCAACAAACACUAGUGGUACUUAAAUAUUCUGUUUUUUUAUAUUUAAUAAUUGUUUAUUCCAACUUUUCCUCUAAUCUCAAAGGAUUUUGAUUAUUUCACUGUGGACAUGGAGAAAGAAGUGAAAGAAUUUCAUUCAACAUUCAUGGGGAAAGAGAAUACAAAAUGAAUGUGUAUGUGUUCAGAUUGGCAGAUGGGCUAGUAACAAGGAAUGGAAAGAUGAGGGCACUUCAGUGAACCAGUUUGCCAAGCAAAUGUCUGAAUUAUUCUCCACUGAAAGUAGCUGGUAUGGUUGACAUUUGUUUUUAUUUUUGACAGAGAGACAGAUACAGAGAGACAGAAAGAGAGAGAGAGAGAGAGAGAGAGAGAGAGAGAAUAAAUGGGGGAGGGGCAGAAGUAGAGAAAGAAAG